GACAGAGGUGCCGAGCGUUAGGCGGAAUCACUGGGCUUAAAGCGUGUGUAGGCGGGCCGUUAAGUGUCUUGUGAAAUCCCCCGGCUCAACCGGGGAAUUGCUGGGCAUACUGGCGGUCUUGAGCAAUCUAGGGGCAGAUGGAACAAGUGGUGGAGCGGUGAAAUGCGUAGAUAUCACUUGGAACGCCGAAGGUGAAAACAGGCUGCUGGGGUUGUGCCGACGCUGAGACACGAAAGCCAGGGGAGCAAACGGG
rnacentral:rRNA from 1 species